rnacentral:rRNA from 1 species
CCCUUAGAUGUUCUGGGCUGCACGCGCGCUACACUGAUGCGUUCAACAAGUGUUAACCUUGCCCGAUAGGGUUGGGUAAUCUUUUGAAAGCGCAUCGUGAUGGGGAUCGAUGACUGCAAUUGUUCAUCUUCAACGAGGAAUUCCUAGUAAGCGCAAGUCAUCAGCUUGCACUGAUUACGUCCCUGCCCUUUGUACACACCGCCCGUCGCGCCUACCGAUUGAGUGAUCCGGUGAAUAGUUCGGAUCGUGCAGGUUGCCUUCGGGUGCUUGUAUGAGAAGUUCAGUAAACCUUAUCACUUAGAGGAAGGAGAAGUCGUAACA